UAGGUUGGGGUCGGCGACCCUAUGGGUAUGCCGACUGCACACAUAAUGACCUCCGGCAUGAGCGGGAUCAGGGCUGCUGGCGACCUCGUCGCGAGGAUGC
rnacentral:ncRNA from 1 species